UGUUGAUUAAUUUUAUUCUCUGUGUUAACUUGUUACAUUUCGCAGUUUGAAUGAUGGUUUGAUCUCAUACAUAACUCAUAGUGUGGCCGCUACAAGCCCUCAGAAGAAAUUGAUAAGUUGUUCAUGGUCGAAGUUGAUCAACAAUAUGGACCCCACAUUACUCUUCGAGUUGCACAUAUUUACAUCGGCUAAUCAGCAUCGUUUGCUUUGUAGUUGUCUUUCUGAUUUGAUUGUGCUUUUAUUUAAACAUGAGGACGAUUUUUUUCUAGAGGAUAUUUGGUGUUUUUCUGAAGUGACGAGUUCAAAAAUUUUUGUUUCGGCAAAUUAAUAUAAUUUAAAUCUUUGAUAUAUAAUCUUUAGUAAGCGACUUCUAAGAACUUUGUUAAAUGGUGUGUAAUACUAUAACGUGUUUUUUACUGGAUUAACGAAUAGGACUCGCUUUUCUUUAUUGGCGAUUUUGUUUGGUUUAUCACGUCGGAGUGGAUGGGUCGAAGUUAAUACUUUUUACAUACAUUCUAAAAGUACUACUAUUUUUGAUAUCAACUAAAAAAACUUGUAUGGAAGUAUAAUAUACAGUGGUCACACAAUUAUUCGUGCACUCGCAGUUUAUAAACAGAUACACCUGAUACUUAGCACCAUUAAACAAAAGAAAACACUUUUAAUAUAUUCGUAAAAAAUAACAUUUAAGGAACAAAAACUUCCAAAUUAUUUGUGGAAUUAAAUAACUUAAGAAAUAUUUUCGAAAAUAAAAACAUAAAUUUCAUUGAAACUUAAAAAUAAUGGCAAUACUGCUGUUUCCGUGGCGCCGCAAUCUGAUGACGGAUUCUUAUAGAACUCGACAAAAGCAAACGAAAUGAAAGCGCAAAGUUGGUGUUGCCAUACACUUGAAAUAAAAACGAAGUUCGUAUGCAGAGAUGUUCAGUAGAAGGUUCAUUGUAAAACUGCAGUAUUUUUUGCGGCUCCGACUCCAUGCGCUACCCCCUCACUUGUUUUGAGAGAAAUAUGACGAAUUUUCCAAUGAAAUUCACAGGAGAUGUUCAUUUCGUGCUUAUUUUGCUAAAACUAGCACCAACCCUAUUCAGUUAAUAAUAGUUUUUAAGUUAAUUGUUGAUAAAAUUUGUCUUUUACCUUCACCAAAUUU